AAAUUAAUAUCAUAGGUCAUAAUCCAGCCCUGAUUAAAGGGGAGAUUGGCAUACAUUUUACAAGUAGGAAUUCAAGAGGAAAUAGUUGGCACUGAGGUUCGUUUUAAGUGUCAUUUGAAAAGUCGCAGAUUCAUGCAUGCGUGGUAUUUACAAUCGCAGCCUAAUUUAUAGGCAUCAGAUGAUAUUUGUUUUAGUGAUAACAAAUGUUCCUUUAUAACUCUUCAUAUAGAAAGAUGCAAGAUGUAAUUAAGCAAUUCAGCAUUUCAAAGGACUAGUUAGAACAAGGAAGGGAUACAUAAUAUACUCUAGGUUUCUUGGAUUUUGAAGUUACGUACAAAUCACUUAUCAUUGAAAGAAACAUUUUAAACUCUUAUUUUUAACACUAUUGGUUUUUCCUCUGUAAUUAUAACCAAUAAAAUUAAAAUUAAUUGUGAA